rnacentral:piRNA from 1 species
UAAUUUGUCACAAAGGUAAGCACAAGGA